GACGAACGCUGGCGGCGUGCUUAACACAUGCAAGUCGAGCGAGAAAGCUCCUUCGGGAGUGAGUACAGCGGCGAACGGGUGAGUAACACGUGGGCAACCUGCCCCAAGGAGCGGGACAACCCGGGGAAACCCGGGCUAAUACCGCAUGAUCCACCACGCCUCAAGGCGUCGUGGCAAAAGGUAGCUUCGGCCUCCGCCUUGGGAUGGGCCCGCGGCGCAUUAGCUGGUUGGUGGGGUAACGGCCCACCAAGGCGACGAUGCGUAGCUGGUCUGAGAGGACGAUCAGCCACACUGGGACUGAGACACGGCCCAGACUCCUACGGGGGGCAGCAGUGGGGAAUCUUGCGCAAUGGGCGAAAGCCUGACGCAGCAACGCCGCGUGAGGGAAGAAGGCCUUCGGGUUGUAAACCUCUUUCAGAGGGGACGAAGCCUCCGGGGUGAAUAGCCCACGGGGUGACGGUACCCUCAGAAGAAGCCCCGGCUAACUACGUGCCAGCAGCCGCAGUAACAC
rnacentral:rRNA from 1 species